rnacentral:lncRNA from 1 species
AACCUGCAAACAGCAGAAAAAGUGGUGUGGUUAGCUUUCAAAUCGUUUCAACGUUAUUUCAUACCUGAGAUUCAUUGCUAACUUAUUAAUAAUAUAGACAAGCAUCAACAACCGAAGGCUAUAUAUAACAUUUAUCAUUCGUGUAUGCAACCAGUAAUCUGAGAGAGUAUGGCUUAACCAAUAUAAAGCAUUUAGAUAUGACAGCUUAAACCUACAUAAAUCAAGGAGACAAGUUCUGCCCCAGAUUCUUCAUAGAUCAUCGCCACAGUAGUACCGCAAAUUCAAUAUAUAUACAUAAGCCAAAUCAUUGACUUACUGAUAUCGCCGGAGGCACACCCACAAGUGGAUCUUGGAAAAAUUUAUUUGCAAGUGCAAGGGCAAGAAGACUGCUCUGCAUACCUGCAAAAAAUAAGAGGAAGCAGAAGGCGGGGUGAGGAUCAAUCAAACAGCUUAAACAUAAUCAUUGUUCAUAGUGAUCUGAAACAGUUAAACAACCUGUCUCAUAUGAUAAUGUUCUUUGCAGCGCUUUUAAAUCUGGUUCUUUGUGGAAGACAAUGCCAGAUAGGAAAUAACCAGAAAUAAAUGCUGACAAAUGAAAUGCAGUAACAAGCAACAAAACGGAUAUUCCAAAGGGAGACAUAACAGAGUCAAUAUUAAGAGCAAGUGGAGCUCCACAACAUAGAGCAGUCACCAAUACAGAAAGUGGAGGCAGAAGAGGCCGG